CGGGGCUACACCCUGCCGUUUAGCGGAGCGAACGGUGCUUGCCCCUUAGCCGUAACGGCGGACGGGUGAGUAAUGCUUAGGAAUCUGCCUAUUAGUGGGGGACAACGUUUCGAAAGGAACGCUAAUACCGCAUACGUCCUACGGGAGAAAGCAGGGGAUCUUCGGACCUUGUGCUAAUAGAUGAGCCUAAGUCGGAUUAGCUAGUUGGUGGGGUAAAGGCCUACCAAGGCGACGAUCUGUAGCGGGUCUGAGAGGAUGAUCCGCCACACUGGGACUGAGACACGGCCCAGACUCCUACGGGAGGCAGCAGUGGGGAAUAUUGGACAAUGGGCGAAAGCCUGAUCCAGCCAUGCCGCGUGUGUGAAGAAGGCCUUUUGGUUGUAAAGCACUUUAAGCGAGGAGGAGGCUUCUUUGGUUAAUACCCAAAGUAAGUGGACGUUACUCGCAGAAUAAGCACCGGCUAACUCUGUGCCAGCAGCCGCGGUAAUACAGAGGGUGCAAGCGUUAAUCGGAUUUACUGGGCGUAAAGCGUGCGUAGGCGGCUAAUUAAGUCAAAUGUGCAAAUCCCCGAGCUUAACUUGGGAAUUGCAUUCGAUACUGGUUAAGCUAGAGUAUGGGAGAGGAUGGUCAGAGUUCCAAGGUGUACGGUGAAAUGCGUAGAGAUCUGGAAGGAAUACGGAUUGCGAAAGGCAGCCAUUCUGGCCUAAUUAUGGACGCUUAAGUACAAAGCUUGGGG
rnacentral:rRNA from 1 species